rnacentral:rRNA from 1 species
AGAGUUUGAUCAUGGCUCAGAUUGAACGCUGGCGGCAGGCUUAACACAUGCAAGUCGAGCGGUAGCAGGCCUUCGGGUGCUGACGAGCGGCGGACGGGUGAGGAAUGCAUAGGAAUCUGCCUAUUAGUGGGGGAUAACACGGGGAAACUCGUGCUAAUACCGCAUACGUCCUACGGGAGAAAGCGGGGGAUCUUCGGACCUCGCGCUAAUAGAUGAGCCUAUGCCGGAUUAGCUAGUUGGUAGGGUAAAGGCCUACCAAGGCGACGAUCCGUAGCUGGUCUGAGAGGAUGAUCAGCCACACUGGGACUGAGACACGGCCCAGACUCCUACGGGAGGCAGCAGUUGGGAAUAUUGGACAAUGGGCGCAAGCCUGAUCCAGCCAUGCCGCGUGUGUGAAGAAGGCCUUCGGGUUGUAAAGCACUUUAAGUGGGGAGGAAGGUUAGUGGUUUAAUACGCUACUAAAUUGACGUUACCCACAGAAUAAGCACCGGCUAACUCUGUGCCAGCAGCCGCGGUAAUACAGAGGGUGCAAGCGUUAAUCGGAAUUACUGGGCGUAAAGCGCGCGUAGGUGGUUUUGUAAGUUGAAUGUGAAAUCCCCGGGCUUAACCUGGGAAUGGCAUCCAAAACUGCACGACUAGAGUAUGGGAGAGGGAGGUAGAAUUCCAGGUGUAGCGGUGAAAUGCGUAGAGAUCUGGAGGAAUACCGGUGGCGAAGGCGGCCUCCUGGCCUAAUACUGACACUGAGGUGCGAAAGCGUGGGUAGCAAACAGGAUUAGAUACCCUGGUAGUCCACGCCGUAAACGAUGAGAACUAGCCGUUGGUCUCCUUGAGAGGUUAGUGGCGCAGCUAACGCGAUAAGUUCUCCGCCUGGGGAGUACGGCCGCAAGGUUAAAACUCAAAUGAAUUGACGGGGGCCCGCACAAGCGGUGGAGCAUGUGGUUUAAUUCGACGCAACGCGAAGAACCUUACCUGGUCUUGACAUCCACGGAAUCCUGCAGAGAUGUGGGAGGGCCUUCGGGAACCGUGAGACAGGUGCUGCAUGGCUGUCGUCAGCUCGUGUUGUGAAAUGUUGGGUUAAGUCCCGUAACGAGCGCAACCCUUGUCCUUAGUUGCCAGCGAGUAAUGUCGGGAACUCUAAGGAGACUGCCGGUGACAAACCGGAGGAAGGUGGGGACGACGUCAAGUCAUCAUGGCCCUUACGACCAGGGCUACACACGUGCUACAAUGGCCGGUACAGAGGGUUGCCAAGCCGCGAGGUGGAGCCAAUCCCGAAAAGCCGGUCGUAGUCCGGAUUGCAGUCUGCAACUCGACUGCAUGAAGUCGGAAUCGCUAGUAAUCGCAGAUCAGAAUGCUGCGGUGAAUACGUUCCCGGGCCUUGUACACACCGCCCGUCACACCAUGGGAGUGGGUUGCACCAGAAGUAGUUAGCUUAACCGCAAGGGGAGCGAUUACCACGGUGUGAUUCAUGACUGGGGUGAAGUCGAAACAAGGUA